CUCAAAUAUUUCUCUUUGAGCUCCUAUAACUGGAGAGGCCAUCAUAAGUGGAUCAGCUGCUUCUACAAACACGCAUCAAGGUUGUUGCCAGGUGCAGUUCUUAAGUUCUGGAAGUAUUGAAUGAAUGAUUGUGAAGUAGAUCACACUUACCAAUAAGAAUAACCCAAAUUACUUACUCAACAAACAUUUCAUUGAG
rnacentral:lncRNA from 1 species